rnacentral:rRNA from 1 species
UUGAUCCUGCCGGACCCGACUGCUAUCAGAGUGGGACUAAGCCAUGCGAGUCAACGCAGCAAUGCGUGGCAUACGGCUCAGUAACACGUAGUCAACAUGCCCAGGGGACGUGGAUAACCUCGGGAAACUGAGGAUAAACCGCGAUAGGCCAAGGUUUCUGGAAUGGACACUGGCUGAAACCUAUAUGGCCCCUGGAUUGGACUGCGGCCGAUCAGGCUGUUGGUGAGGUAAUGGCCCACCAAACCUGUAACCGGUACGGGCUUUGAGAGAAGGAGCCCGGAGAUGGGCACUGAGACAAGGGCCCAGGCCCUAUGGGGCGCAGCAGGCGCGAAAAUUCUGCAAUAGGCGAAAGCUUGACAGAGUUGCUCUGAGUGAUGCCCGCUAAGGGCAUCUUUUGGCACCUCUAAAAAUGGUGCAGAAUAAGGGGUGGGCAAGUCUGGUGUCAGCCGCCGCGGUAAUACCAGCACCCCGAGUGGUCGGGACGAUUAUUGGGCCUAAAGCAUCCGUAGCUUGUUCUGCAAGUCUUCCGUUAAAUCCACCUGCUCAACAGAUGGGCUGCGGGAGAUACUACAGGGCUAGGAGGCGGGAGAGGCAAGCGGUACUCAGUGGGUAGGGGUAAAAUCCUCUGAUCCACUGAAGACCACCAGUGGCGAAGGCGGCUUGCCAGAACGCGCUCGACGGUGAGGGAUGAAAGCUGGGGGAGCAAACCGGAUUAGAUACC